rnacentral:misc_RNA from 1 species
AGCAUUUGUGACUGUCACAUGUAUGGAUUAGUUGAAAAAGACUUCCUUAUUGUAUCCAGUGUUGGAAUUUCAAGACUAGUUUGCUGACAUUUUUUACUACAUUCAAACUUUAAACAACAGAAUGUACAUUUGUGUGAACGUGAAAACAUACUCAUUCUGAAUAGGUUAUUUGUACUGACAAAAUUGUUAGCUAAAAACUUUGUAUAUUGAACAGUUAAAAAAACUUUAAUUUUUUGUUUAAUUACUGUGCUUUUUUCUAGGUAACAUUAUAUGUUACAGGUCAGUUUGUGUAUGGAAAUUCUCUUUGAUAGUUUGAUAUAGCCAAUUAAUUCAACUCACCUGCUACGUGUUUAUUGGUUACUUCAAUUAUUAACCAUGUUGUGAUGAUAGAACAGACAGGGAAAGCUCAACAGGACUGGCUUGCAAACACCGACUGUUUGUGAUGGACAGCGUAAUCAUACAGAGUAUACAUAUAUAUGUCAAGUAUAUCUGUGACAUAUGUAUAUCAAGAUAUGCUUUAUAUAAACUUUGAUACACAGGUAUUAUUAAUGGAAUCACAAGCUUCUACAUGGUAUGGUUAAGAACUGGAGCAGACAUUGACAGAUGGUGUGGUAUUCAAAUUAGCUGGAUGUAAAAAAACAAAAAACCAGCAACAAAACAUUUCUGUGUUUUUGUGGAUUUCUUUGAGUGAUAUUGGUGAUUUGCUGGCAAUGACAGACACACUGUCGGACGGAUGAAGAUGAACAGACCAAUCAGAAGAUGGCAUUUGGAUUCAGGUGGCUGAUUAUAAUGGUGACAUGUCUUCUUCUCAGAGGACUGUACUGCAGUGCAGAAAUCAAGGACUGUGCUUCGAAUCCUUGUCAGAACAAUGCCAAGUGUGUGGUCAGUGACACAGGAAACAGAUGUAGAUGUCCUGCAGGAUUCACUGGUGCAUUGUGUGAGACUGAUGUUGACGAGUGUAGCCAUGUUCCACCACCCUGUCUCAAUGCUGUCAGAUGUGUCAACACUGUCGGCAAUUUUAGCUGUCAGUGCAGUGCAGGUUACACAGGCAGGGACUGCGGCACGGAAAUCAACGAAUGUCUGAGUCAGCCAUGUUUGUUCAAUGGGACCUGUGUAGAUCUUGUCGGUGGCUACCGCUGUCAGUGUCGGAAGGGCUACAUGGGACAGCAGUGUCAGGCUGUUGUCAGAAUCUGUCUGAUGGACAACCCUUGUGCUUCUAAUGGCAUCUGUGUGGAAAGACCUGCGGGUGGUUAUAAAUGUUAUUGUAAACCUGGUUUCCAUGGCAGCCGAUGUGAGUUUGCCAUCAAUGAGUGUGUUUCGAAUCCAUGUCGUAAUGGUGGCAGCUGCUCCAAUGGUGUCGACAUGUACAACUGCUCUUGUCUUCCCGGUUUUUCUGGUCCUAACUGUGAAGUUGAUGUGAACGAAUGCACCAGUAACCCGUGUCAAAACGGUGGGACGUGUUACGAGCACGCUGUGAAUAAGUACCAGUGCAUGUGUAAAGCUGGUUACACCGGUCCGGAGUGUCAGGACAGCAUCAACCACUGUCUCAACGUUGUCUGUCCCAUAUACCAGGUCUGUGAGGACCUUCGUGAUGGAUACAGGUGUGCUUGUCGCCCUGGAUGGACUGGACAGCUCUGCAAAGUCAGGAUCGAUAGUUGUCAUAGCAACCCGUGUGUCAGCAAUGCUUCCUGCAUUAACAACGAAGUCGGCUACACGUGUAGAUGUCCCUAUCCUUACAGCGGCAACAGCUGUGACAUCAACAAUGAUGUCUGCUACACAAAACCUUGCCUCCACGGCGGAACGUGUCGCCAUGACAAUACCGUUACCAGUGGAUUUAUGUGCCAGUGUGUUGAUGGUUUCAUUGGUGAUCGUUGCCAAGGUGAUAUAUAUGAGUGCCAAUCAAAUCCCUGCAGGAAUUCGGGAACGUGUGUUGAAAACACCAAUGGUCAGCCUGGAUUCCAAUGCCAGUGUCCAGACAGGUUCGGGGGAGACUUCUGUGAAGUGGUCAAGCAUGCUUGUUUAUCCUCGCCAUGUUUUAAUGGCGGAACCUGUGUGUUAACUGCUGAAGGUUACCGAUGUGACUGCCCCCACACCUGGUCGGGUAUGAGGUGUGAUGUUGAUGUGGACGAGUGUGAACAUCGGCCGUGUAAGAACGGCGGUUACUGUGUGAACCGCGUGGGUCAGAGACAUGAGUGUGUGUGUUCCCAGUACUGGACGGGACACAACUGUACACUGGACGUCCUGGAGUGUGACUCUCACCCCUGUCACAACAACGGAUCCUGUACUGAAGUCAUCGGUGCAGAUCCACAGUGUCACUGCAGACAAGGCCUUACAGGUGCGUUCUGUGAAGUUAGACUACCUGGAUGUGAAGUGAAGCCAUGUAAGAAUUCUGCUACCUGUGUACAGGAUGGACCAACUUACACCUGUCAGUGUCUCCCUGGAUACACAGGUGAGCACUGUGAAGACAAUAUUGAUGAGUGUGAGCUGCGGCCAUGUAUGAAUUCAGGGACGUGCAUCGACAGAGUCCACGACUACUUCUGUUUGUGUCCUCAAGGAUUCACGGGCAAGAACUGCUCGGAGGACAUUAACAACUGUGAUCCUAGCCCCUGUCAGAAUGGUGCCACAUGUCUCGACCAUUUUGGUCCAAGUUUUCAGUGUAAAUGUACUCCUGGUUAUACAGGUGACUUUUGCACGACUCAGAUAGAUGUAUGUGCUUAUAAACCAUGCAUGAACAAUGCAACGUGUGUUGAUUUGGGAGAUCGAUUUCGAUGUGACUGUCUCCCAGGAUUUGAAGGUUUAACCUGUCACUUGAACAUUGAUGACUGCGCCAGUAGUCCGUGCAAGGAGGGCAGUAUGUGUGAAGACCGAGACAAUGACUAUCUCUGCAAGUGUGCUCCAGGAUAUACAGGUAAAACGUGCAGUGUGGAUAUUAACGAGUGUUCCUCCAACCCGUGUCUACACGGCGGUGUGUGUAAAGAGCUGACACCGAACUCAUACACGUGUGUGUGUCCCAGCGGUGUGUCCGGACCGCGCUGUGAUGUUGUGUACACGGCCACGUUUGACGGGCAGCAGGGGCUGGAGGUUCGUGUAGACUGGCUGCCGACUGGACGCAGGGUGAGGAGAGCGGCCACAUCCACACCCAGUAUAUCAAUCAGAUUCACCCUGACUACCACAGUUACCAAGGGAGUGGUGCUUUUUACAAGAGGAACUGAUUCGCAAGGCAGACCCCAGCAUUUUGGUGUGGAACUCUUCAACAAGGCAUUAUGGGUAACACAAAGUCGUGGUGAGAGCACUGUCACAGGACAGUUAGUACUAAAACCACCUGUUGGCGGGAUCUUCAGUCACACCGUGGACAUCACCAUGACAACAUCCUCCUCCAACAUCACCUUGGAUCCCAGCAGUUGUAACAUGGAUGACUCCAGCUGUCAUCUUUCACUUCAUCAACAAGAGAGAACUUUACCUUGGAAUCUGGAGAACAAACUGAAGCUUGGGAAGCUAAACGUUGUUACUCCAUACGUCCGCAGCAAACUCCACACGGUGGAUGGUUUCACUGGGUGUCUGGGGAACUUUGUGAUCAAUGGGAAGUCACUCAGCCUGCUAACCCCAGAUGGCACCACCUCUACAUCACCAGCACCAGCUCCAGGCUGCUCCAGCCAUGAACCGUGUACCCCCAGUUUCUGUCACAAUGGAGGGACGUGUGUUGACGUGUGGACGAGGAAGUACUGUCGGUGUCGACCAGGUUUCUCCGGUGAGUCGUGUAAGUUCCAGAACAUGGCUCACUUCUCGCCCGGCUCACUGCUAUACUUCAGCGGCGUGUCGCACAUCACUGAACUCUCGUUCUGGAUCUCGACCACCAACGCUUCCGGAAUUAUCCUCUACACGCUGACGUCUGAUGCGAUGGCGUUAAUGGUGGACCGAGGUCAGAUCCGUCUCCAGCUGGUGUCAGAGAACACCGACUUCGUGAGUCGAGUUGGGUAUGGUGUGGACAGUGGGGACUGGUACCAUGUCAGUCUCACCUUCUCCGGGGGCAGGUUCACUCUUAGACUAUCUACAGAGAUGACUGGCUUGUUUGGGACGGCUACUGGCACCGUUGGUAACUUCAUCCUGGUUACGAUGCCAGUGUUUGUGGGUAAACUUCAUGAUCACCCAGCAUUGGACAAGUGGCGUCUUCGACCAUCCAAGAUUCCAACCUCAGAUGGGUUCUCUGGAUGUCUGCGAGAUCUCACCAUCAACAAUUACCCCAUUAACCUGACCACACACAUCAGCUCCAUUUUUGGCAAUGAUCCCCCACCCCCACUGCCUGGCUGCCCCAGGGAGGAAGUCUGCCUCCCUUCCCCGUGUCAGAAUGCUGGCGUCUGCUCCACAGGCUGGGUCGGAUACAGCUGUCAGUGCUCUGUCAACUUCCAUGGAAAGAACUGUUCUGAAGUGUCAUCUUCUACAUUUGAUGGGUUGAAAAGUUUUGCAGACAUCACAAUUGAUAGGUCUAGAUUUCCUUUUGGAGAUGACGGCAGUUUUGAAUUUCGCACUCGACAAGUGACUUCCACACUCAUGCACAUUGAGCUGUCAAAACGAAGCAGUGGGGAAGUCCGAGGGUUACAGUUCCGACUGUAUAAACAGCAACUACAGGUUGUCUCCAGUUUCAAUGGAGCAACUCUGAUGCUUCCAAAACAACUGUCUGAUGCAGAGUGGCACAUGGUUCAGUGGCAACGAGAUGGCAGGAGUCUGGUGGUGUCUGUGGAUGAUGUCCAAAAGAAACUUAAUGCUGAAUUUGACCUCUACAGUCCUCACUUCAACACCACCAUCAAGGUUUACAUCGGAGCUCAGCCUCUCACUCCUGGAUAUCGUGGUAAGAUGGUUGGCUUUUUCAAAGGAUGUCUGCGAUCUGUGACCUUCAACAAGGCUUAUCUCAACUAUCUCCCGAGCCACGCCCCUCAGCCUGGUGUCGUGGCAACCAACAUCAGCAUUCGUUCUGGUUGCCAUGGUGACGACGUCUGCUCGGAGAACCCCUGUCCCGCCAACUCGUACUGCGACUCUGACUGGAAUUUGUACUCGUGUCCUUGUCUCGGCGGCUGGGAGGGUGUGAACUGUUCCACCAGCGUGGAUGACUGCAAGAAUCAUCGGUGCCAGAAUGGAGGGCGGUGUCUCGACGACCACAAGUCGUAUGUUUGCGAAUGUCCGCACAAUUACACGGGACAGUUCUGUGAGUCACUGUUCAGGAUCUGUGAUACCAAUCCGUGCUUCCCAGCCAACACUGUUCAGUGUCUGUCCAUCUUGCCAUCAGAGUACCAAUGUCAGUGUAAAGCAGGUUGGACCGGAAAGAACUGCACCAAAGAUAUAGAUAACUGCUUGUCUCAGCCUUGUUUAAAUGGAGCUAACUGCACAGACUUGAUCAAUUCAUACAAGUGUCGGUGCUCGAGUGAGUUCUUUGGUGAGAAAUGUCAGUUUAGACGUAUCUGUUCUUCCAGUCCUUGCUACAACAGUGGAAGUUGUGUACCAAAUGAUGACAACACGAACUACAAAUGCCAGUGUGUGAAUAAUUAUAUGGGAAAACAGUGUGAGAAGUAUAAUUACUGUCACGAUCACCUGUGUUCCAAUAAAUCAACAUGUGUGUUACAACAGAGUGCGUAUGUUUGUUCUUGUGUUCCUGGUACGUACGGGGUGUAUUGUCAGUAUACAGACCACUGUUAUUCCAAUCCAUGUGAAAACAAUGCUGAAUGUCGUAAUGAUGUUCGUACAUACAGGUGUGAAUGCCCAUUCUUCUUCACCGGGAAAAACUGUGAAACUCCCAUCAAUCAGUGCAGGUUUAAUCCAUGUUAUAACGGUGCCACGUGUUAUUUUAAUGAAUCUCUCUUAAUCCAUCAGUGUCACUGUCGUGUUGGAUUCACAGGCCAGCGUUGUGAGACAGAUAUCAACGAAUGUCUGUCACAGCCAUGUAAAAAUGGAGGAAGGUGUAUAGAGAGUAGUUCCAAACCGGACAAGAUGUUUUAUGCAGGAUAUCAUUGCCAGUGUCUUCCAGGCUUUGUGGGGAACAACUGUGAAACAGAGACACAAGAAUGUUCCAGUAAUCCAUGUCUGCAUAACGGUACUUGCGUAGAACUUCAAAAUGCAUUUCAGUGUAAAUGUCUGUCAGGAUUCGAAGGACUGACCUGUGAAUAUGACAGAAGAGCUUGUCAGUCAUCUCCUUGCCAGAACAAUGCCAACUGUUUACAGAACGUUGACAAGAGUUACUUUUGUGAAUGUAAAGUGGGUUUCACGGGACGUCAUUGUCAGAUAAACAUUAACGACUGCGACAGUCAUCGUUGUCUAAAUGGUGCGACUUGUGUGGACAUGACAGCGGGUUACACCUGCUCCUGUCUCCCCGGUUACACUGGGACGUACUGUGAGCACAUCGCAGACUCCUGUUUCAGCCAGCCGUGUUUUAACGGUGGGACGUGUCACUAUCAGGGCCUGUGUAGCUGUAACAACAUCGUCAGCAGGUGUGGCUGGCACAACGAGACUUGUCAGCAGCGUCUGUGUUCCACGGUGUCUGGUUGUUCAGAGUACGACAAGUCAUACAGGUGUGACUGUCACAAGACAGGAUUCACAGGGGCACAGUGCACGGACGAUGUUGAUGAGUGCAGAGUUGCCUCCCCUUGUAAAAAUGGUGGCAAAUGUGUAAACACUGUCGGUGGGUUUUCGUGUGAUUGUCAUGGAACUGGUUAUGCUGGAAAUAAUUGCUCAGAAGAUAUAGAUGAAUGUGAUAUUAAAUCUGUAUGCUUUAAUGGAGGUUCGUGUACCAAUCUACCUGGGACAUUCACCUGCCGCUGCCCCGACGGAUGGACUGGACAGACGUGUGGACAGAACACUGACGACUGUCAUAGCACUCCCUGUCAACACGGAGGACGUUGUACGGAUGCUGUCAACGGCUACACAUGUAUGUGUAGUGGCACCGGCUUCAAGGGAGACAACUGCGAGAUAAACAUCGACAACUGCGUAGGCCACAUCUGCCAACAUGGUGCCAGAUGUGUGGACGGCAUCGACAGUUACUCCUGCAACUGCAGCAACACGGGUUUCACCGGCCCGCUCUGUCAGACCAAAGUGGACGAGUGUCGUGGUCGGCCAUGCAGAAAUAACGGGACCUGUGUCGAUGGGGACAGGUCCUUCGCAUGUGAUUGUACAGAGACGGGAUAUCAGGGAAAGUUGUGUGAAGAAGAUGUGGAUGAGUGUGGCGAUGGUUCACAUAAAUGUGUGACGGGCUCCACUUGUGUAAAUCUGCCUGGCGGGUACAGCUGUAGCUGCGACAAUCAAAGAACCGUAGUGGUGCACUGGCUGAAAUGAGAAAUAGUCUAAUGGGCCUACUGACUGGAACCGAUCAUACAUGGACCGCAUAUCAAGUGUAUUUUGUGAAAGUGCAGUGGGACAGGUCUCAUCUGACGACAGUUCUCCGAGUAUGGGCGUGGUGGCAGCGUGCGUGGUCAUUGUUUUAGUCUUACUGGCCACAGUGCUACUUUACGGUGCGUGGC